rnacentral:lncRNA from 1 species
CGCAUACAUAUACAAUAUUAUACAUUAAUACAUAUAAUAAAUAUAUUUAAUAUAAUAAAUAUAAAUAUUAAAAUUAACGAAUAACAGAAAGUGAAAACAAGUAAAAUGAAAAUAAAGCAAUAAAUUGACAAAGAGGACUGAAUCGAAUUAAAGAAUAAAGUUUGGGGCGAAUUUUAAAAGAAAUAAAUGGAAAAGGACUAAAUUGCACGCGCAAACAAACCGAAGGGACUCAAUCGGACAAUAAACCAUUUUCCCAAAACGCAGCGCAUGGCAGAGGACCACAUCAUAAGGCGCAACAAAUUUAAGGGCUAGAUUAAAAAUAAAAAUAACUUAAUUGUAGAAUCAUGAGAAAGCGGAGAGGUUGAAAGCGCAAUUAGCCCCUCCAAUUAAAAAAACACGUGGAUCCUAUCGGGUAGGGUCGGGUCGACCCGAUCCAAGGUGAAACGGCACCGUUUCAGCACUGAACUCUAAUGCCAAAACGGCACUGUUUUGAAAGGCUAUAAAUAGCCUAAAAUUCAGAAAAAAAAACAUUUGAGAGGGGAGAAAGAAAAAAAAUGAAAGAGAGGGGGAGAGAAAAGGGAUCCGGCCAGGGAGGGACGGUUACCGGUCCGGCUACCGGACCUUCGCCUGCGCCGGCGCUAUGGUGGUCGGAUAGGUAAAAAAUCUACUUUUUUCUUAUUUUUUGUAUUCUUUUUUUUUGUACUAUAUUUUAUGUUUAUAUUAAAUAAAAAAAUAAAGAAAUGUGUAUAUAUAUGUAUGCAAAAAUCGAAAGAAAUAAAGAGAAAAAAUACAACCUUUUUGUUUACUCCUUGUUUGUUUGAACAACCACUAUUGUCUGUUUGUUGAAGUCUAUAAAUUCCUUUUGAUGUUUACAAAGAAGAAAGGAAGAAAGGGAAAGGAACCCCCUUUUCCAACACUUUGAUUCGGGUUUUAUAACCCUUUUCUGUCCAUUUUCUAUUGUUUCUGUCCCGUCUCCUUUUUGAUUUCUUGCAGGUGCAGGGGGAUGGUGGAGCAGGUGAGUCAGAGGGCAUGGGGGCGCCAGGAAAAAUGGCCUGUAAUCAGGGGCAAGCGGGGGAGGAGGGUAGGUUCGGCUAGGGGCAAUUAGGUUUAGGUUUUUUGUUUUUGAUUUGGGUCUGUGGAUUUGUAAUGCGUUUGGGCCUUCGUUGGGUUAGUUUAGUUGGGCUAAGUUGGUUUAGGUUAGUGGGUUAGUGGUAUGUGGGUCUGGUGGGUUUAGGUCAGUGGGUUAGGGUAGUAAAUUGGCCAACCGGGUUUGUUGUAUUGGGUCCUGGGUUAUAAAUGGGUUUUAAUUGUAAAUGGAAUUGGCUAAUGGGUAUUAUAAUGGGUUAUGGGGUUUGGGCAUAGGGGUUGUAUUUGGGUUUAUGUAAUGUAUUUAGGUUCCAAAAUUGGCCUAUAACACAAAUAAAAAUAAAGAAUCCCAAAAUAAAGUCCAUUUUUACAAAUAUCACAGCCUAAUAAAAAACCCCAAACUCAAAUUUUAGCCCAAACCUUAAAACCACAAUCAGCCCAAUAACAAAUACAGCCCAAACUAUCAAUCUAAUGCAAAAAAAAUCAGCAGAACCCUAGGAACGUUCAGCCACCGCCCCGCGCCUCUUCGUCUGCUCGCACGCUGCUCCAUCAGUCGCCCUCCACGCGUCGUCUGACAUCUGAAACAAGCACAAUAGCAAAGAAAAAAGCAUGCGAGCGCAGAGAAAUAAAGAGCAAAAAACUAAAAAACUAAAAAGGAAUCGAUUGUAAAUGGCUUUAAAAGCCCGGAUCUACUCUCUUGUAAUUUUUUUUACGUACAUUUUACAAGCAAAAACUAAUCAAAAAACAGAAUACUCGUUUUAAAGGUGAUUUUUUUAUUUUGUGUGAAAAAUUUCUGUCUCUUUAUCUUGUUUUUACUUUUGUUUCUCUUAGUUAUUUUAUUUUAUUUUAUUUCACUUACGAAAAUAAAAGGGAAAUAAAACUUACCAGAAAACCCCCAUGGUCGGUCGUCGGAGACUUCUUUCUCCAUCGGAGUUGAGCCCAAAAGGGGAGGUUGGGAAGUCCCUUUAUUUUCAGGCACUCGACCGAGGGAUUUGGAACCUUCAAAGGCACCACGAACAGAGGCUAGGUAGCCUAUUUCGCUUGUCGUCGGCCACUGAUUGUAAUGGUGGUGUGACAAACCACCGAGGGCGGCGAUGAGGGGUUCAGGACCCUAGCCGAACGGAAGAGAAAAGGGGGUAGGGAGGCUGAGUUCUUUUAAAAAAUAAGCAGCAGAAAUCUGCCUACAAAAGGAAGAAACCCUUUUGUUUUCUUUAAAAGGUGAAACGACGCAGUGUAAAAGGGGGGUCAAUUUCAAAGCCCGAAUGGGCUAUUUGCUACUCAGGCCCCUCUGUUGUCUUGCGUGUUUCAAUCAUCCCUUUUGCAUUUUUCGACAUUCAAAAUUAUCCCCGCAAGUUUG